AUGAUGGAGCAGGUGAAGAUCGUUCGGGAUGCGAGCCAAGCAGCUUACGACGCCAGCUCCGCUCUUCAGAGCAAUGUUCAGAAAUCCUGCGAUCUUGCGACGCGCUAUACUGAACUGGAGCAGAAGCAUACUCAGCUCGAACUGGACUUGAAGCUAGUGCAGGAGAAUCUGACGAGGGCAAAGGAGGAGACCAAAGGCAAGGUGAAGGAGGCCCAGAGGAAGAAGGAGCUUGAGCUGUCUGAGAAGAUCAAGCUUGCUGAUGAAAAACUGGCCUCAGUCACCAAGCUCGAACAGGAUAACACCAAUCUGAAGGCUGCUCUGGCCAUUGCCAGCAAGGAUGUUGAACGACUGAAGGCUGACAAGACUACUCUGACUGAGAAGAUCAACCAGAUGGCUGGGAAGAAGAACGAGCUGGAAGGCUUCUUGGGUGGUCUUGCCAAAAAAUUGUUCCUUAUGCUUGAAGAGUUCUGUCGCAACUUUGAAGAAGAAACCAGCCAGGUGGAGACGAACCUUGACCCUGUCAAUUCUCCAGUGAAUGAUGAAACUGCCAUGAACAUCUUCCGACUGGAGUCCCGUGUUGCUGCCGUCGUGGAUUAUCUUGCAAGACUGAAGGUUGCUACAUCCCGCAUCGACUCGACGCUCUGGCCCAGGGAAAGACUCCAAAAUGACCUCGAGUCGUUGGUGACUCGACUGAACGCUGUCCCUGACCGAGUGCAAGAGUGGAAGAAGUCUUCAGCUCGAUGUGGUGCGGAUGUCGCCCUGUGUCUGGCACGAGUCCAUUGCAAGGAUGCUCGAGAGGAUAAGCUGGCGGCUCUCCGAGUGGCCAACACCAAAAAGCACGACUUCAGGGCCUUCAUGGAGACUUUCAUUGCUGCUGCUACGCGGAUUGCCGACGGGAUUGACCUUGACGAGUUCGUUGCUCCAUCCAGCCCUCCACAGGAGGGGUAA
rnacentral:rRNA from 1 species